CAGAAAGAGACGAACGGGGGCGGUCGGCUGGAACCGGGACCGGGCUCUUAAUUGAAUUGUGGAUACGAUGGAAAGGGAUUCACUUUCAAAAGCUGAGAGCAAAUUAGAUCCGGGUUUGGAGCGUAGGAUGUCCGCGUUGAAGUUGAAACAGUCAGACAAAAUAAAAAGAAACUUUGAGUAAUAAGUUUUACAAAUCAGAUUCAGGUAAAAAUAGAAUCAGCCUAAUGCAGAGUAAUCCAAUGUUCUUGUUAGAAUUUCCGUCGUGCUGCCUCUUGUUACCCUUACCCUCUAUGUCCAGAGAACACGACAAAUGCACAAACUGGCUUAAAGUAAACAAAAUAGACACUUUUGGUGGUAAGUAUCUUAAACUCUUUCAAACUCAUCCCACCUCAUGUCUGAUGUAUUUUAAAGAUCCUAGCUGAAACCUGGUGAGCAGUGCAAGCAAUUAAAGGUGCAAAAUGAGCUGAAGUUCUCUGAGAAUUGCUAUGAAAGGACGUUAGGAAGAUAUUAAAGACUUCAUAUAGUUGAAUUUUUAAUCAAGCACAAUAAGCACAGUAAGUUUAAUGUUGUGAUAGCUAAAUUCUAACAAUAUAUUGUGUCAGUUGUGAUUCACAUUUGACAUGUGCAACAGAAUUAGACUUGCUAGCAAGCCUUAACCAUAAAGCAGUUCUUACUUUUUAUUUUGGUAAUUGUAUGAAGUACUAUUAAUAAAUUAUUGAAAAAUAGUAGUAGUAAAGAACCAAAGUAGUGAAGAACAAACUAGUAGAACAUGCUAGUAGCAACUAUGCUAAUUGUAAAGCCAAACAUGCUAACAACCUGAGUUUCUCUUAACCAAAGUUCUAUAAUUCUGGUUUAUUUAAAACGAUAUAUAAAGGCCACAGAUAGCACUACACAUUUAUAAUAUUGUUUAUUUGUUUAUCAUGAUAAGAAUUUGGAUUUAUUGUAAUGAUGAUUUUGCUUUAGUCCAAAAAGUGAUGACCUUACUUAACACGUUAACUUUCUCCUCUGUUUCAUGAGAGCUUCAAUAAAUAACAAUAAAUUCGCAAAUAUGACUUAAUGCAGUUACUAUUUUUAAUUUAGUAAAUCCCACAUCUUUAAAUGGUGUCUUUAAGAAACCAAUUGAAAAAUAGGAAUGCUUUUUAUUAUCAGUAUUUGUGUUUAUUGGGUGUUGAUCGCUGUGCCAUGCAGUCAUAACUAAAAAAAACAAAACAAAAAAAAACGCAAAAGACACUUAUCGUUAUCACGAUAGUACCACGAAAUAUCGUGAUAACAUUUUAAGUCAGAUGUAAAAGUUUGACUUAAGUUUUUAAUUAUUACCAUUUUAGUAACAUCACAAACUGUUAAACUUUAUCCUUAGACUUGGAUGUAGCUUUGCAGGUUGUAAAUUAAUAUGUAGGUAAAUAGCAUCCAGAUUGAGAAAUGUUAAAUGCAUGCUAACAUCUCGAUCAUUAACCACUGUGCAGAUGAUUUGUAUAACUAAAAAAAUGUUCUAUUAGUUUAAUUUUGUUUUAUUGGUAGGACGUUAAUUUGUUACAUUGGGAUUUUUCUGUUUGCUUAGUAGAAGAUAAAGAGCUCUCAAAGAAACAAUGAGCUGCCGACAUUUGGAAAUCAAUCAAAGACUUACACAGCUCCAGAGCAGCAACAACAAAAAUCGUUAUCAUUUCAACAAUAGAAACCUACGAAAGAUGAACCGAGGUCAAUGGAAGACAAAUCAGUCUAAGCAGAUGAAACGACGGAGGAGAACGGGACCCGCUGAGCGAUGCCUGCUGCUUACCUGUGCAGAGCGCGCCGCAUGGAAAACAGAGGAGGAGCACACAAGCCAACUGCGCCUGCAUCUUGACGACAAAAUGAGAAAAGGUGUGAAACAAAAGGGGGGCUUCCGCAGUGAGGAGUUCACCUGAGGACGAGCUUAGUCCAUAAGGUUAAGGGUCAGAGCGCGACUGAAGAGGCUGGAGAUGAAUUUAUGGAGACGAUGCUGCCGCUUCUUUUUUCCCCCCUUCUUUUUUCCUCCUCAAGGUCUGAGAUGGUUGUCAGAGCUUCCUGGUUGGAUGUGAAGUGCGGUGGGCUCCAUUCCCUCCGUAUAUAAGAGCCCGCGUGAUGUCAGAGCGUGGGUCUCUUCCCCCCUCUCCCUGCCCCUCCAGAUCGUCUCCCUCCAUCCACGUUGCUGUGUCUCGCCGGUCGUCACUCUGGCAUCACGGGGCAGAAAGGUUUUUUGCGUCACUGCUCGGGAGAUUUUUGGUUUUUUACAUCUUCAGUGGAAGAGGUUAGCUGUACGUUGGUCUCUGAGUGGUGGAGGGUGACGCACAGAUCACCGUUUCUGUCACCGUUUGGAAAAAAAAAAAAAAACACAAAAUAAAACACAAAGCAUUGUUCUCUGUUAA